ensembl:lncRNA
AUGUUCAUAACACUUACCAGUAGAUUCAACUCUAAAGGUUAGCACCCUCUAAAUUUGGGGGCGCUGGGGGAAAGCCCCACUUCCUUGCCUUAGUUACAACUCCAUUAAGAAUGUAUGAAUGUGUGGCUAACAGCUAUUACUGUUUGAGAGUAAGAUAAAACAACAGAUACUUACAGCACUUCUUUCCCCUCUUAUUAGUUACUCAGAAGAUGUGCUUCUAUGGACCCAGCUCUCUAAAGAAGACACCCAGGCACUUCCCACACCAGCAGCCACAUGAAAGGGGUUUCCUGGCAAAGAAUCCCCAGAACGGGCAACAACACCAGGUCCCAAAGCCACCACAAAACCAGUUGUGAGAAACCUAAGCAUACAUCUGCAAUAUAUUGGACAGCCCAGCUGUAGUGGGAAUGUUUUUCGGGUUGGGAUUGACAGCUAUAAAUACUCAACUAUCCCACAAACUGCACCGGAGCACAGACAGACUUCUGACUCCUGUCCUCUGAAGAUGCUGGCCACAGAGACUGGUGAAAUGUUAGGAAGAAAAACCUCAAGAACACAGCCAGACAGCCUGAAAAACCUACAACAGCCAUUGGAUCCCAGCCGUGAAAGCUUUCGAGAAUACAUUAAUCUGGACUGACAACAAGCUCUGAGAGAAUCUGAAAACAAAAAUAGGACUGUCUGUUUUUUUCCCUGAAAUCAUAUGGGAUGGAUUGAAGUGUCAGACGACUGGAGGAGGGUUAAUGUAGUCCCUAUCUUCAAAAAGGAAGAGUCUGGGAAUUACAGACCAGUCAGCCUAACAUCAGUCCCACAAAAAUUUUUGGAACAGAUUAUAAAGUGGUCACUCUGAAACCAUCUUUGAAAACAAUGUAGUAAUAACCAGAAGACAAAACAGAUUUGUCAAGAACAAAUCAUGCUAGACUAGUUUUACCUCAUUUUUUGAUCAGGUAAACUUCCUGCUGGAUGGUGGGAACACUGUGUAGACAUAAUAUAUUUUGAUGUCAGUAAAGAUUUUGACAAAGUGCCCCAUGAUACUUUGAUUAGUAAACUAACUAGGUGAGGCCUGGAUAGAAUAACUAUCAGGUGGAUAAGCCCGUUGUUACAGAAUCAUACUCAGAAAAUACUAAUCAAUGGCUGCUUCUCAAACUGAGAGGAGGUAGCAAGUGGGGGGACACAACAUCUUCAACAUUUUUAUUAAUGGCUUGAAUGAAAGGGUGCAGGAAAUACUUAUCAAAUUUGCAGAUGACAUAAAUUUGGGUGGAAUAGAAGAUAGAAACAAAAUUUUAAAAAUACCUUGAUAGGCUUGAGCACUGGACUAAAAACAACAGAAUGAAAUUUAAGAGGGCUAACUUCAAAGUACUACACCUGGGGGGGAAGCCCCAAACAAACACUUGCAAGAUAGGAGGUAUUAGCUCAGUAAUAUUACAAGUAAGAAGGAUCUUGGAAUUGUUGUAGAUCACAAGCUGAAAAUGAGCCAACAGUGUGAUGUGGCUGCAAAAAUAGGCCAGUGCUAUUUUAGGAAACCUAACUGAAGUAUAUUCUCCAAAUCCUGAGAGAUACUAGUCUCCCUCUAUUCAGCAUUCUUUUAGACUGGCUUCGAGCAAGAAGGAUGAGCUGGGGACUGGAAGUCGAGUCCUAGGUGGAAAGACUGAAAGAAUUGGGCAUGUUUAGCUUUGAGAAAAGAAAACUGAGGGGAGAUAUGAUAGCACUUUUCAAAUAUUUGAAAGGCUGUCAUACAGAGGAGGGGCACAAUCCAUUCUCAAUCAUCCCAGAGUGAUCAUCCCAAAGCCAACAGUGUGAUGUAGUUGCAGAAAAGGCAAAUGCUACUGUAGUCUUCCUUAACAUAAGUAUUGUCUCCAAAUCCUGUGGAGUACUAGAGUUCCCCUUUAUGUGUCACUGGCCAAUGAUCACCUAAUCACUAGUUUUCCUCUGAAGCCUUCCCCAGCUGGCUCCCUGAUAUUUAGCAUCUUGUAUCUAAGAUAUAGAUUUGAAGCUCUGACCAUUAUAAAAUAAAUAGUGCAUGCACAGACA